rnacentral:rRNA from 1 species
AACGAACGCUGGCGGCAUGCCUAACACAUGCAAGUCGAACGAGACCUUCGGGUCUAGUGGCGCACGGGUGCGUAACGCGUGGGAACCUGCCCUUAGGUUCGGAAUAACUCCCCGAAAGGGGUGCUAAUACCGGAUAAUGUCUUCGGACCAAAGAUUUAUCGCCUUUGGAUGGGCCCGCGUUGGAUUAGCUAGUUGGUAGGGUAAAAGCCUACCAAGGCGACGAUCCAUAGCUGGUCUGAGAGGAUGAUCAGCCACACUGGGACUGAGACACGGCCCAGACUCCUACGGGAGGCAGCAGUGGGGAAUAUUGGACAAUGGGCGAAAACCUGAUCCAGCAAUGCCGCGUGAGUGAUGAAGGCAUUAGAGUUGUAAAGCUCUUUUACCCGGGAUGAUAAUGACAGUACCGGGAGAAUAAGCUCCGGCUAACUCCGU